rnacentral:sRNA from 1 species
AAUCCCAUAGGAUUUUAAUUUGUCCCAUGGGAUAUUAAAAAUCCCAUGGGAUAAUAAAAAUCCCAUGGGAUU